rfam:Triticum aestivum genome assembly, contig: Triticum_aestivum_CS42_TGACv1_scaffold_500436_6BL
UACAUAUUCCCUCCAUCUUAAAAUUCUUGUCUUAAAUUUGUCUAAAUACGGAUGCUUCAAGUCAUGUUUUAGUAUUAGAUACAUCUGUAUCUAGACAAAUUUAAGACAAGCAUUUUGGGACGGAGAGAGUAUAUG